AAAUCAGUACAGAUAUAAAAGAAUUACAUUGCAUGCUGGAGUGGUUUAGAUGAACUCAGUACUAAUUUCAUCGCACGUGAGAGCAGAUAGAAUCCAUCUGUCUGACUGGUGUGCCAGUACUAACAUGGUACAAAGGAGAGGAUCUAUUUCUAGGAAAUAGUCGAGAUGUGGAACAAACUUCACUCACAUGAUGAGCUGUGUGAGCAGGAAGUGAAGAAAACAGAAAUCCUCUGAAACGAGGCCUGAGCUCAGAUUUCAACAGACCCACAAUAUGAGCAGGAAUAAUAAUAAUGGGUUAAGAAAAGCAGUGUAACUUAGCACUUAAAUAUGUAUAUUAAAAAUAAGUCAUUUAUUUAUGAUACAUGCCCUGCAAGUGCCAAAUAAUACUUCUGUCAAGUCUGAAGAACAUAAACUGAGAAUUUUUGUCAUUCAGAUAUACUUAUCUUUCCUUUUCCUGCUUUAAGCUAAGACUAAUGGCCAAGGAAGUCAUAUUUUCCUGCCAUUACUAAGACUGCACAAGGUAAUUUGCCCCUCUGCAAGGACAUCCACGUGUAACUGUUAGUCACACCAGCAGCCACGAGAUAUGGAUAUGAUCAUCAAGUCUUAUUAAAACAAAUGCUGAAUACCAUGAACCUUUCAGGAGGAAAAGAGAGCCUUGGAGAAUGUCUAUGGGGCUUUACCAAUGGAGCUGCCGAAAACAAAGCUAUGAUUCAGGGGUCUCUGACCUUUCCCAGCCCUCCUCCACCAGUGUCAGCCUGCAGCCUGCUCUUUAAAAGUUUCUGCUCACCCAGGGAGCAAAAUUAGAAAUCUUCUCCAGGGACAAUUUUUCUUCCAUCAAGCCACUCAUCAGCCCACUGAGGCAUGGAAACCAAAAAGGAAAAAGCCUUUUUAAAGUUAACCCUAGGAAA
rnacentral:lncRNA from 1 species